UACGUAGGAGGCGAGCGUUGUCCGGAAUUACUGGGCGUAAAGAGCGCGUAGGCGGGUGCCUAAGUACCUUGUGAAAUCCCACGGCUCAACCGUGGAACUGCUCGGUAUACUGGGUGCCUUGAGCCACUUAGGGGCUACCGGAACAAAUGGUGGAGCGGUGAAAUGCGUAGAUAUCAUUUGGAACGCCAAUGGUGAAAACAGGUAGCUGGGAGUGUGCUGACGCUGAGACACGAAAGCCAGGGGAGCGAACGGG
rnacentral:rRNA from 1 species